CUUCUCGUGUUUAAGCUUGCUGUAGUAUGGGAACAUGUCAAUGCAACCUAGGUUUUGGUACACACAAGGGAGCUCAAGGGACUCGGCCACCUUUUCCAGUGCUAGGCACCUUAUGUUCCCAAGCUCAUGCCGACAGGUAGGGCAGCAAUUCUGAACCCUUGCCUUGCAGCUUGAACAAAGAGUGUGGCCAUUUGCACACUGAACCGUAAAAUUACGUUAGCUGUUAUGCAUUGGAGUUACCUCAAAUGUAAUAACUCAAUCAUAAUGCAAAUCAACGCUUAAACAAAAUUCCUAGCCUUCCAUUUGAACAGAAAGUGAAGUUAUAUAGAGUCCUUUUGAUACUUGGUCCGAAAGCUAUUUCCGGGGACAAAAGAGUGACUCAAUAAUCCAUUAGGGUUCUAGGCCUUCAACCAAAUUAAAUGCGUCAGUGUUCUAUUUAUUGGAUGAAUUUAUUUAUCUAUGAAACGUUUUUUUUUUCAGAAUAAUCAAUGAGCAAAGCGUUAUAUGUUUUGAAAGUCAUCACAAUAAGAAUACGAUACCUGGUAAAUUGGAGGAUGCAUUAAAUUCAUGCAAACAGUACAAUCAAGUAGCUCGUGUACAUCAUUACGACUCCUAGCAAAGCCACCAGUUGAAGCUUUCCUGAAAGUGACACCUUUGAACUCAGGACGAGAAGUUGCUGGUUGAGAAUCUAUCGAUGUAAGGCGCAACUCGGUCACUUCUUUGCAGAAGCUGGCUGCAGAAGAAGCAUGUUCUUCCCUUGACUUGGGUUGCUGAUACAUCCCCUUCUCUCUGAAUUCUAUUAUGGUACUCAUACAAUCAUCUCUGAGAUUUAAUUAAAAAAGAAGAAGUGUCAUUGCUAGAGGGACUUGUUUGAAGAACUCAUAAUUGGUUCCGUAGAAACUUAUGAUAAGCAAGCAUCUCAAAACUUGUUCCCUGGACCAAUCAAUUUAGUAGGAUGAUCAUUUCAGCUAUGUGGAUUCCAUUUAAACUUCACACUCAAUGAUAUUUAUUUUCAAAUGUGCAAUGCAAAUAGGAUAAUAAUAGAAAAAACAUUCAAAACAUGGAUCUCCUAAAUCACAAAUCAAGGACAAUAACUGUGUGCAUUUAUUACAUACCAAAAUGAAUUUCACAUCCAGUAAUCAAGAGCAAUGAGAAGCAAGAUGCAAUUUGAAAGCAUUGCAUGCGCAAGAAGUAAAAUCAAUUAAGUUUUGGAUCAUUAAAUCCUUCUUUUAUAAUAACAUACCAUAGACAGAACAGAACCUGUUGGAAACGGAAGCUACGAGGAAGAAUCUUCAACGUUCUUUAAAUUGAAAACUCAUGUAUGCAUUAAAAUUUACAACAACACAUGACAGUUACAAUCGGAUGGAAUCAUUGUUUGCUUGCACAACAGAAAAAGUGCGUUUAAGAGUGAGAAAAUAAAAGCUAUAUCAUUAAUUGGCACAAGUACAAGCAGCAAGAAAACAAAACCCAACAGAAGCACCAAUUUUUUUUCCUUUCUCUUUUCCUCUUUACUGAGUUUGGCAUCUGUGCUGCGAUAAGAAUCUAUAAACAGAAAAGUAAAAUACAAGAAAACCAAAAGAAAACAACCUAUAAUCUAUUAAUAGAACGAGUAUUAAAUCAUCUCUGUUUAAAACUAGAAGCCAGCAUUUUUCUCAUCCAAACCACUUCAGUUAAGAAUCAAAAAGAAAAACAACAGACAAAUUCACCAUCGUUUCAAAAUCAUCGAACAGGCAUAAACAUAACCAGAAUGCAGCACAGUGAUAAACAAUGUAUAGAAAGAAAAUAUACAAGAACUACGAAAUCAAACAAAAGCCAAGAGAAAAUUUGAACACCCAAUUGAAUAAUCAACAGUAGAGUAACAUAAAGCAUCAGUAAG
rnacentral:lncRNA from 1 species